rnacentral:lncRNA from 1 species
CUUCUUUCCCAGAAAGGGCCCUCCAUGAGGUACCCAUGGGCUGCCCUUUAUGACCAUUCAUGAGCUCUGGGCCACCCCCAUAUUCUCCAUCCUGGUGGCCUUUGGGACCUCACCCUCCAUCUCCAUCUCCACCUCCACCAUUUGAGACUUUAGCCGAUCCAGAAGCUGGUGUCACUCCCAUGAGUCACAACAACAAGCACUCUACCAAAACAAAUGCCAAGAAGGACCAGGAAAAUGCUGGGGCCAUUUCAGUUGUAAGUCUGUCGGGACACCCUCAUUUGCGAUACAGCAUGCUCUCCAGCCUUUUCCCUGUUUUGUGUGUUGUGUGUGUGUGAUAUGUCUGCCUGUUUCUAUUUGCCAAAUGCACAUCCUUAACCCAAGAGUCUACAGGCUUCUCUCUUUUCAGCCUGUCACCUUUUUUCUGGUAAAUUUAGUGGCCAAAGGAACUUAGAGAUUGAGGAU